rnacentral:rRNA from 1 species
UGCGUAGGCGGCCCGGGAAGUUGGGUGUGAAAUCCCUCGGCUUAACCGAGGAACUGCGCCCAAAACUGCCGGGCUUGAGGGAGAUAGAGGUGAGUGGAACUUAGGGUGGAGCGGUGAAAUGCGUUGAUAUCCUAAGGAACACCGGUGGCGAAAGCGACUCACUGGGUCUCUUCUGACGCUGAGGCACGAAAGCUAGGGUAGCGAAGAGGAUUAGAUACCCUCGUAGUCCUAGCCCUAAACGAUGAGCACUAGAUCGAGGGACACUCCAUAGUCUCUUGGUCGAAGCGAAAGUGUUAAGUGCUCCGCCUGGGGAGUAUGGUCGCAAGGCUGAA